rnacentral:misc_RNA from 1 species
GAUGAAGAACGUAGCGAAAUGCGAUACUUGGUGUGAAUUGCAGAAUCCCGUGAACCAUCGAGUCUUUGAACGCAAGUUGCGCCCGAAGCCAUUAGGCCGAGGGCACGCCUGCCUGGGCGUCACACGUCGUUGCCCCCCCAUCUACUCCUUCGGGAUUGCGGGGGGCGGAUGAUGGCCUCCCGUGCGCCUCGUCGCGCGGUUGGCAUAAAUGCCAAGUCCUCGGCGACGCACGCCACGACAAUCGGUGGUUGCGAAACCUCGGUUGCCCGUCGUGUGCGGUCGUCGCGCAUCGAGGGCUCGAAAAAAUUGCCGGGCUCCGGCUCGGCUUUCAACGCGACCCCAAGUCAGGCGGGGUUACCCGCUGAAUUUAAGCAUAUCAAUAAGCGGAGGA